rnacentral:tRNA from 1 species
GCAGACAUAGUUUACUUAAAAUAUUAGAUUGUGAUUCUAAAGACAGGUGUUAGACCCACCUUGCCCGCC